rnacentral:rRNA from 1 species
GACGGAGGGUGCUAUCGUUGUUCGGAAUUACUGGGCGUAAAGCGCGCGUAGGCGGCCUAUUAAGUCAGAUGUGAAAGCCCAGGGCUCAACCGGGGAACUGCAUCUGAAACUGAGAGGCUUGAGUACGGAAGAGGAAGGUGGAAUUCCAAGUGUAGCGGUGAAAUGCGUAGAGAUGUGGAGGAACACCGGUGGCGAAGGCGGCUUUCUGGUCAGGAACUGACGCUGAGGCGCGAAAGCGUGGGGAGAAAACAGG